rnacentral:rRNA from 1 species
ACGAACGCUGGCGGCGCGCCUAACACAUGCAAGUCGAACGGAGCUUAGAGAGCUUGCUUUUUAAGCUUAGUGGCGAACGGGUGAGUAACGCGUGAGUAACCUGCCCUAGAGUGGGGGACAACAGUUGGAAACGACUGCUAAUACCGCAUAAGCCCACGGUACCGCAUGGUACUGAGGGAAAAGGAUUUAUUCGCUUUAGGAUGGACUCGCGUCCAAUUAGCUAGUUGGUGAGGUAACGGCCCACCAAGGCGACGAUUGGUAGCCGGACUGAGAGGUUGAACGGCCACAUUGGGACUGAGACACGGCCCAGACUCCUACGGGAGGCAGCAGUGGGGGAUAUUGCACAAUGGGGGAAACCCUGAUGCAGCGACGCCGCGUGGAGGAAGAAGGUUUUCGGAUUGUAAACUCCUGUCGUUAGGGACGAUAAUGACGGUACCUAACAAGAAAGCACCGGCUAACUACGUGCCAGCAGCCGCGGUAAAACGUAGGGUGCAAGCGUUGUCCGGAAUUACUGGGUGUAAAGGGAGCGCAGGCGGGAAGACAAGUUGGAAGUGAAAACCAUGGGCUCAACCCAUGAAUUGCUUUCAAAACUGUUUUUCUUGAGUAGUGCAGAGGUAGAUGGAAUUCCCGGUGUAGCGGUGGAAUGCGUAGAUAUCGGGAGGAACACCAGUGGCGAAGGCGGUCUACUGGGCACCAACUGACGCUGAGGCUCGAAAGCAUGGGUAGCAAACAGGAUUAGAUACCCUGGUAGUCCAUGCCGUAAACGAUGAUUACUAGGUGUUGGGGGAUUGACCCCCUCAGUGCCGCAGUUAACACAAUAAGUAAUCCACCUGGGGAGUACGACCGCAAGGUUGAAACUCAAAGGAAUUGACGGGGGCCCGCACAAGCAGUGGAGUAUGUGGUUUAAUUCGAAGCAACGCGAAGAACCUUACCAGGUCUUGACAUCCGAUGCAUAACACAGAGAUGUGUGAAAUCCUUCGGGACAUCGAGACAGGUGGUGCAUGGUUGUCGUCAGCUCGUGUCGUGAGAUGUUGGGUUAAGUCCCGCAACGAGCGCAACCCCUGUGAUUAGUUGCCAGCGAGUAAUGUCGGGAACUCUAAUCAAACUGCCGGUGAUAAAUCGGAGGAAGGUGGGGACGACGUCAAAUCAUCAUGCCCUUUAUGUCCUGGGCUACACACGUACUACAAUGGCUAUAACAAAGAGAAGCGAAGCAGUGAUGUGGAGCAAAACUCAAAAAAGUAGUCUCAGUUCGGAUUGUAGGCUGAAAUUCGCCUACAUGAAGCCGGAAUUGCUAGUAAUGGCAGGUCAGCAUACUGCCGUGAAUACGUUCCCGGGCCUUGUACACACCGCCCGUCACACCAUGAGAGUUGGGGAUACCCGAAGCCUGUGAGCCAACAGUUAAAUGAGGCAGCAGUCGAAGGUAGAAUCAAUGAUUGGGGUG